GACAGAGGGUGCAAACGUUGCUCGGAAUUAUUGGGCGUAAAGCGCGCGUAGGCGGCUACUUAAGUCGGAUGUGAAAGCCCUUGGCUCAACUGAGGAAGUGCACCCGAAACUGAGUGGCUUGAGUACUAAAGAGGGUCGCGGAAUUCCCGGUGUAGAGGUGAAAUUCGUAGAUAUCGGGAGGAACACCGGUGGCGAAGGCGGCGACCUGGGUAGAUACUGACGCUGAGGAGCGAAAGCGUGGGGAGCAAACAGG
rnacentral:rRNA from 1 species